CUUAUCCGCCGUGCCCAAUCCGGUCCACAACUUGAAGCGAUUCAUCAUGAAAUCAACAAUUUCAUACUCGUUGUUCUGCUUGGCAAUAUCUGACCGUACCGCUCCGAACGUUUCGUUUAGGAUAGACAACAGCAUGUUGACAACAAUGAAAGUUAUCGUGACGACGUAAGCGAAAAUGAAGAUUUGUGUCAUAACUGGUUCCACCAUCUUCAUUUCGUAAAUAUCAAACUUGCCCAUCAUCAUGGUGAGACCGGAUUCACAAGCCGUGAUAAAAGUCUUGAAUGACGUUAGACUUCCAGCAUAGACCAAGUAGAAAAGUUGAAUGAAUGCCAAGAAGACGAUACUGAAUAUUAUGCUGAAGUGCAUCAAGUCUCUGCAGGAAUUCUUUAAAGUUGAGGCCAGUAAUGACAUACGCUUGUUGAAUCGCAGAAGUUUGAGGAAUUUUAGUGACGCAAAAAAGACUAACCACCCAAUAAUAUAACUGAAUAUUUCACUCCAUGCUCCCACGUACUGAAAUUUCAUAUACUCGUUACCAUGGGAAAUUUUAAAUCGUUCUGUUAGUCGGUUAGUUUCAAACAUACGAUAGAAGUAGAUAACAAUGGCUGUCACAGACAUCGAACAUAUUCCAAGUUCCACUAAAUUCCAGAACUGUUUGAAAUAAGCGAAAUUUUCUUUCGUGAUGCCCCUUAGCAGUUGGAAAAUGAAGAAAAGUGUGAAAGCAAAGUAGACAAUCUCACAGGCGAUCUGGAAGAGCAUCACAUCAGUCAUGUAUGGCAGAAGCAUCACGGGUUCAAAACGAUAGGACGGAAAUAUACCCUGACUAGGACGGACUUCCAAAAGCAAGGUAGCAAUUCCAAAUAAAUUGAUUCCGGCAUUGUAAACGGUGAAUUCCACGAAUAUCGCGCGAGUAUACCUAUCAACCCAACCCUCAUUUUCAAGACUCUGGAAUUUGUUUCUGAGUAACGUUGCGUUUCCACGCAAACGUACCACGUACCCCCCACCGCUGUACAGAGACCUGUCUCCCAUGUAAGGAUGUCCGUCCAAUACGCUGGCCGUGGUGUAGCGGUAUUCCUCUUUUCGAUUAUUAUAUGUAGUAUUUUGGUAAGCAGGAUUCCAUCCAACUCCGUAUUCAUUCUCGUCGUGUUCCUGCAUAUCGUACUCAUCAUUACACUCGUGUAUAACGGUCUGCAUUACAUCGGCAACAUGGCACGAGUCUGAAAAGGCAACUCAUGGAUUAUUUUCAGGAGAAUGAAUUUUUAAAAAAAUGAUUGGUUCUGGUAUAAUCAACUUAGUUCUGUAUUUGGCAUACAGGUAAAUAUCUGCAAUGCUUUCAAAUAUAAAAUAUUUAGUUCUGUUAUUUUGGUAUUUGGCAUACAAUUAAAUAUAUGUACUGGUAAUUUCAUUCUGAAUUGUGAACAAGUAAUGGAAAAGUCAUAGACAGAUGCUCACCUCGUUUUACACGAAGUUGUCUCAUUGUGGCGUAUCCCAUGAUUCUGGACUGCUUGUCGUUGAUGUAACCACGUAAAAAUAUGGGCUGCCCGUCAUUGUACCAGACGCCUGCUCGGAUGCCAUCCACCAAUCCACUCUUUGCCCAGACCCAGAAAUCAUCUUUGUUUUUUAUCUGGUUGCGACAAUAAAACAUGUUGUCAGAAUCAAAAGUUAUGACAUUUCUUGUAUGGGAAAUUUGUGCAGACCUGCACUUCAUACCGUUGGCAUGAUACCGGCUGUAUCGUCUCUGUCACAAGGCGUUGUUUUCCUUACCUUCAGGAAGUGGUGCUUGGUGUCGUUGGUGGUUAUGAAGACCUUUUCUAAACUUGACUUGUAGUAGUAGGACAUGUAACUACGGUUCCUGUAACUGAUGACCAUUAGGAUCCACAAGAAAAACGAGUAAAACACAAUCUCACGGACGAUGCCCCACAUCUUGAUUUCCUUCAGUCUAACUUCACGUGCUUUUUCUAGAAGCCCCGGAUCUGGAGGUUUGUAUGCAGCCCUCCUUGGUUUUAUGAUGCUGUCUGAAAAACAGCAAGUAGUUAAUGGAUUAGUUCAGAAGUGUUACAGGUUUCGUUCAUGCACAUUUUUUGAUGUUGUAGUGUGUCUGUGGACGAGGAGAACACAAUUCCUGGGCUUUUGACCCCUUUCUGCUUCUUAUUUAUUAUCUUAUGAAGUGGGUAAUAUGAAUACUAGCAUUGUGAAAUGAAAAUAUUGUAAGUUACAGUAUGUUAGUAUUUAAUAAAAUUCAAUAAUAUAUUUUCUCGAUACAAAUUUUGGUUGCUUGUCUUUGCAAAAACUGUUGUUUGAUCAAUAUCUUAUGUACAUAUUUCAUUUAAUUGCUGUCAAAGCUUAACAUUUCUUGAAACAUCUAAUUCAUGAUAUUUGAUUUAUUAGCAAUAAUUUGUUGUGGUACGUCACAUACAACGGCAUAUCGAUUGCAAAUCUUAUUACCUCACAAUAUAUGUCAAGUGUUUGUUAACAAUUGAAAAAAACCCCGAAAGAUUACGAGUUUUCAACAACUAUAGUAGUUAAAUUUGGAAAUAACUGGAUCCUUCACAUUUCUUUACGGAUAAAAUAACUCAAACCUAGAGGUGGUGCGGACAUUUGGGGUGGCACUGGAGUUACAGGAUUAAUUAAUCAAUUAUGGGUGAAAGCUUUAAAACCUUUCGUUUCUCUAUAUCAGAAGUGGACAACGGGACGCUAGACAGCCAUGAUAACUAUUGCCACUUGGCUCGGUCAGUUAAUAUUUUUUCCAAACUGUUGACUUUUUCAGCAGAUAAUGCAUUACCACUGUCUAUGUCAUGAAGAUAUUCCUCGUCUGCUGCCAAAGGAGGCUUCUCUUCAUCCUCAUCAUUAUCUUCAUCUUCAUCACCUCCGGGAUUUUUUAUAACCAGAGAGAAGAAUAUUGCCGUCAGGAUUACCUGCAUUGUCAAAUACGUGAUCAUUAUUAAAGAGUAAGACUGCUCCGAGUAUUUACGUCUCAACAGGAGGGAGAAAUUCUCGAAUGGGACGUAAAACAACAAAGAAAUGUUUUAAAGUUUAGAAACCACAAUUAGUUUCGUUGACCCUGGAUAUUUACUGUUUAUUUAACAUGUUGCAGGAUUGAGCAGAAUGAUAAGAAAUUGUUACCUGCCAAUAUUCACAGUGGCCUAUCUUAUUUUUACCUUUAUUGGCUGUGUGAUGAAAAUCGACGUGAAGAAUGAGAUCAGCAUGGACGUAAUCCACAUUUUACAUUUAAUAUCCUGGAACAUGACGCCAUAGAAUGUAACAAAAGCAGCAGAGACGAAGGUAGCUAUCCACAACAGUAUCCAACCGAUAAUAACAAAGCCCCAAGGAAGAUCCCAGGAUUUUUUCUUUUUCUUUUUGUCUGCAUUGUCGGCCAAAUCUACCACUGACAUUGAUGUCCCGCUCCUAGUGAGUGCAGUCUCCGGCCUAUUUCCUUCCAGGAGUUUAGACGGAGUAAGACAGGAAGGUUCACCAGAACCUUUCAGUGUAGGAUGGACGUCAAAUACAGAUGCAACUGGUUUUGAUUUUUCCUUCAGUGCCUCUGCCACACGUGAUGGUCGCUUGUUUCGAGGUCGAGAUUUUCGGAAGAUGAGGAUGAUCAAGAAGCUGACAGGGAACACGAUUAUGUUGCUCACUACGCCAAUGUAUAUCUUAAAUGAAUUUAAGUUUCAAUUGUGAAAAGACAUAACUUCAAAAACAUCCGUGCACUAACGUUUACUAAUUUGUCACUAAAAUUGGAUAAUAAAAUUCUAAACUCAGUACCUGUUCAGGAGUUAGAGCGAAGGGACCAAACGUAAACGCAUUUUGUUGUGAAUCUCCUUUCUCAUAAAACAUGGCGUUGGUCAGCAUGGACAUGAACAGAAGACACAGACAGCAAGACACACGCUGGACUCGUGUAAAUCUGCUCUGGGGAGGUCUGGCCAAUACCGAGAACCACAGAUGACCAUCACUAAGGCUUUUCGUUGAUUUUUCUGUGAAUAGGUGACUGAAUUCCGUCAUCUGUUCCUUACCAGCUACCGGUAUCAGACGAUCAAUCUACAACAUAAGGAAAGUGAACGGAAGGCAUGUUUCACCACCUGUUAUUCCAGUGCUUACCUCGAUACAGACAUGAGGAAGCCCUCCACCCCUCCCCGUUGCAAGAUUUUUCUCUUGUUGUCACUGAACGUUCUAACAUCCGUCUCAUCUUCUUCACCAGAGAGAAUGAAACUCACCUACAGAUCCUCAGUUCACAAGGAUUUUGAUAUUGCAUACCAUUUCUACGUCCUUCUUAUCCUGAUAUCUGGCCCAGAUAACAGCGGCGAUGUAGACAACGACAAUCACGAUCUCUGUGAUGUAAAGUGUGGGGUUCUUAAAGAAGUCCAUAUUGGAAAAGACGAAGUUCCAGUCAAUAGUGUUCGGCACAACGACCCACCCGCCAGCGAACGUGGUCAUGUGUCCAUGAGCGAGCACCAGUUUGGCAGCUUGAAGCUUCCAUCUCCAAGAUCAAUUGUCUUGUUGGAAAACUUAUCUGCUCGGUUUUUCUCAAAUUCAAGAACAAUGGAGGUUGUAAAAAUUUUCACUGGAGUCUCUCCCUCUACCAAACUUUUCUUGAAGAUUGACCGGAGCUUGGAAUAAACAGUGCCUGCCGUGUUCUGUACUCCUUGGGUCUGUAGUACAAGAAGAAGGAUAUGGGACUUAACAAAUUUUGAAAUUUCAUGGUAGUUGUGCAAACCCAAUCCGAGUCUAUAUUUUUAGUAUGAUGGAAUAGAUAUAUGAUUUUCAUGAUUCUUGCAACCAAACUAUAUAAGCGAUAUAUACCUCGUAAUGCAUCGAAAGGUUUUAUUUUAGCAUGCCUUCUUAAACCUAACAUACAUGAUUUUAUACUAAUAAUCAAGUUUUUAUUUCAGAAUUAAACAUUACUUC